GUUUUGAUAAAAAACUGACCUAAGACAGCAGGGGAGCAUGCUCAUAAUAUUCCUGCCGAGGCACAAAACGUGAUUAAAGAAAAUAACGUAUUUGUACUUUCGUGUCUAGGUUUAGGUGCGAUUUUUUUUGUACCUAG
rfam:Streptococcus pyogenes MGAS10394, complete genome.